rnacentral:sRNA from 1 species
UGAUCCAAAUGAUACGCUCAAGAGGCGACCUUGGACAUAUCUUUGCUGGAUCUGUUGUAUUUCAUGUGGCUCUGGACCAAAUGGCCUGCAGCUUGAGCAGAGAUGAGGGACAACUCCCCAGCAAGGACAGCGCCAGCCACAACGGCGGCCAGGAGCCUCGCAUUUGAUCCUGGGGAUUCCCUGUUUGCGCCCUUCACGCCAAGUAGGUCCAAGCAAGCAGACUGUGAGGCCAGCUGUGUGCCUCCACCAACCGUGCCUACCUCAAUUGAUGGCAUAGUAACAGAGAUAUGAAGAUCUUUGCCAUCAUUUACAGCUUCCAACAUUGUGAUGCACUGGGAGCUUUCCACAUUCUGUGCAGGAUCCUGACCGGUGGCAAUAAAGAUGGCUGUUACAAUGUUGCUAGCAUGGGCAUUGAAGCCACCCAAAGCUCCAGCAACAGCUGAACCAGCAAGGUUCUUGAUGACGUUCAAUUCUACUAGUGACUGAACGUUGGUCUUGAGAACCUUUUUCACAACUUCCUCUUUGAUUACUGCCUCACAAACCACAGACUUUCCACGUCCCUCAAUCCAAUUUACAGCAGCUGACUUUUUGUCAGAACA